ACUCCUACGGGGAGGCAGCAGUGGGGAAUAUUGCACAAUGGGCGCAAGCCUGAUGCAGCCAUGCCGCGUGUGUGAAGAAGGCCUUCGGGUUGUAAAGCACUUUCAGUUGUGAGGAAAGGUUAGUCGCUAAUAUCCGCUAGCUGUGACGUUAGCAACAGAAGAAGCACCGGCUAACUCCGUGCCAGCAGCCGCGGUAAUACGGAGGGUGCGAGCGUUAAUCGGAAUUACUGGGCGUAAAGCGCGUGUAGGUGGCUUGUUAAGCCAGAUGUGAAAGCCCCGGGCUCAACCUGGGAACUGCAUUUGGAACUGGCAGGCUAGAGUUUUGUAGAGGGUGGUAGAAUUUCAGGUGUAGCGGUGAAAUGCGUAGAGAUCUGAAGGAAUACCGGUGGCGAAGGCGACCACCUGGCCAAUAACUGACACUGAGACGCGAAGGCGUGGGUAGCAAACGGGAUUAGAUACCCUGUAGGCUCUG
rnacentral:rRNA from 1 species